UACAUAGGGGGCAAGCGUUAUCCGGAUUUAUUGGGUUUAAAGGGAGCGUAGGUGGAUUGUUAAGUCAGUUGUGAAAGUUUGCGGCUCAACCGUAAAAUUGCAGUUGAAACUGGCAGUCUUGAGUACAGUAGAGGUGGGCGGAAUUCGUGGUGUAGCGGUGAAAUGCUUAGAUAUCACGAAGAACUCCGAUUGCGAAGGCAGCUCACUGGACUGCAACUGACACUGAGGCUCGAAAGUGUGGGUAUCAAACA
rnacentral:rRNA from 1 species